rnacentral:rRNA from 1 species
GACGAACGCUGGCGGCGUGCUUAACACAUGCAAGUCGAACGGAAAGGCCCGGCUUUUGUUGGGUGCUCGAGUGGCGAACGGGUGAGUAACACGUGAGUAACCUGCCCUUGACUUUGUGAUAACUUCAGGAAACUGGGGCGAAUACCGGGUAUGAGCUCCUGCUGCAUGUGGGGGGUUGGAAAGUUUCGGCGGUUGGGGAUGGACUCGCGGCUUAUCAGCUUGUUGGUGGGGUAGUGGCUUACCAAGGCUUUGACGGGUAGCCUGCCUGAGAGGGUGACCGGCCACAUUGGGACUGAGAUACGGACCAGACUCCUACCGGAGGCAGCAGGGGGGAAUCUUGCAGAAUGGGCGGAAGCCUGAUGCAGCAAUGCCGCGUGCGGGAUGACGGCCUUCGGGUUGUAAACCGAUUUCGACUGUGCCGAAGAGUGAGUGACGGUAAUGGGUAAAGAAGCCACGGCUAACUACGUG